rnacentral:ncRNA from 1 species
UUUAUUGCAUUGAAUAGGAGUAGUACUAUAUCCUUAUAUCUUUAGAGAGUUACUGUUUGGUGAAAAGUAACGAUAUAAAUAUAGGAACUUGCCUAGGAGCUUACUUGUCAAAAGCAAGUACGGGAUAUUCCCGUUAUUUAUUUAAGCGAGAAAUUUUACUUAGGUAUAUUUAUCUAGUAUUUUUUCUAAUAAGAGUGGUACCGCGAAAUAAUGUCUUUCGUCUCUUAA